rnacentral:rRNA from 1 species
CAGGACGAACGCUGGCGGCGUGCCUAAUACAUGCAAGUUGAGCGGACCAAAGGGAGCUUGCUCCUGGAGGUUAGCGGCGAACGGGUGAGUAACACGUGGGCAACCUGCCUGUAAGACUGGGAUAACAUCGAGAAAUCGGUGCUAAUACCGGAUAAUAAAAAGAACUGCAUGGUUCUUUUUUGAAAGAUGGUUUCGGCUAUCACUUACAGAUGGGCCCGCGGCGCAUUAGCUAGUUGGUGGGGUAACGGCUCACCAAGGCGACGAUGCGUAGCCGACCUGAGAGGGUGAUCGGCCACACUGGGACUGAGACACGGCCCAGACUCCUACGGGAGGCAGCAGUAGGGAAUCUUCCGCAAUGGACGAAAGUCUGACGGAGCAACGCCGCGUGAGUGAUGAAGGUUUUCGGAUCGUAAAACUCUGUUGUUAGGGAAGAACAAGUGCCGUUCGAAAGGGCGGCACCUUGACGGUACCUAACGAGAAAGCCACGGCUAACUACGUGCCAGCAGCCGCGGUAAUACGUAGGUGGCAAGCGUUGUCCGGAAUUAUUGGGCGUAAAGCGCGCGCAGGCGGUCUCUUAAGUCUGAUGUGAAAGCCCCCGGCUCAACCGGGGAGGGUCAUUGGAAACUGGGAGACUUGAGUACAGAAGAGGAGAGUGGAAUUUGAUCUGGCUCAGUAUAAGUCGUAACGGGUCACCGGAGAGUUUGUGUCAUGGCUCACUAUCUGGUCUGUAACUGACGCUGAAGUGCGAAAGCGUGGGGAGCAAACAGGAUUAGAUACCUGGAUAAUCCAAACCGUAAACUAUGAGUUCUUUUUUGAAAGGGUUUCGACGCCCUUAGUGCCGAAGUUAACACAUGGAGCACUCCGCCUGGCGAGCUAGUUGGUGAGGUUGAAGCUCAAGGCAACUGAUGGGGGCCCGCACAAGCAGUGGAGCAUGUGGUUUAAUUCGAAGCAACACGAAGAACCUUACCAGGCCUUGACAUCCUAUGGCCACCCUAGAGAUAGGGCCUUCCCCAAUGGGGAGCAAAGCGACAAGUGGUGAAUGGUUUUCGUCAGCUCGUGUUGUUAGGUGUAGGGUUAAGUCCCGUAACGGGCGCAACCCUUGACCUUAGUUGCCAGCAUUCAGUAAGGCACUCUAAGGUGACUGCCGGUGACAGGCGGUAGGAAGGUAGGGAUGACGUCAAGUCAUCAUGUCCCUUAUGACCUGGGCUACACACGCGCGACAAUGGAUGGUAUAAGGCGUUGUGAAACCGCGAGGUGAAGCCAGUCCCAGGAAACUGUCUUCAGUUCGGAAUGAGAGCUGCAAUUCGCACGCAUGUAGCGGUGAAAUGCUAGUAGAUGUGGAGGAUCACCAGUGGCGCAAGGGUUCCCGACUCUCGUAGAGUCUGUAACUGACGCCACGAGAGUUUGUGAGGCACGAAGUCGGCAGGGUAACCUUUU